rnacentral:rRNA from 1 species
AUUGAACGCUGGCGGCAGGCCUAACACAUGCAAGUCGAACGGUAACAGGAAGAAGCUUGCUUCUUUGCUGACGAGUGGCGGACGGGUGAGUAAUGUCUGGGAAACUGCCUGAUGGAGGGGGAUAACUACUGGAAACGGUAGCUAAUACCGCAUAACGUCGCAAGACCAAAGAGGGGGACCUUCGGGCCUCUUGCCAUCGGAUGUGCCCAGAUGGGAUUAGCUAGUAGGUGGGGUAACGGCUCACCUAGGCGACGAUCCCUAGCUGGUCUGAGAGGAUGACCAGCCACACUGGAACUGAGACACGGUCCAGACUCCUACGGGAGGCAGCAGUGGGGAAUAUUGCACAAUGGGCGCAAGCCUGAUGCAGCCAUGCCGCGUGUAUGAAGAAGGCCUUCGGGUUGUAAAGUACUUUCAGCGGGGAGGAAGGGAGUAAAGUUAAUACCUUUGCACAUUGACGUUACCCGCAGAAGAAGCACCGGCUAACUCCGUG